rnacentral:rRNA from 1 species
AUUGAACGCUGGCGGCAGGCCUAACACAUGCAAGUCGAGCGGAUGAAGGGAGCUUGCUCCUGGAUUCAGCGGCGGACGGGUGAGUAAUGCCUAGGAAUCUGCCUGGUAGUGGGGGAUAACGUCCGGAAACGGGCGCUAAUACCGCAUACGUCCUGAGGGAGAAAGUGGGGGAUCUUCGGACCUCACGCUACCAGAUGAGCCUAGGUCGGAUUAGCUAGUUGGUGGGGUAAAGGCCUACCAAGGCGACGAUCCGUAACUGGUCUGAGAGGCUGAUCAGUCACACUGGAACUGAGACACGGUCCAGACUCCUACGGGAGGCAGCAGUGGGGAAUAUUGGACAAUGGGCGAAAGCCUGAUCCAGCCAUGCCGCGUGUGUGAAGAAGGUCUUCGGAUUGUAAAGCACUUUAAGUUGGGAGGAAGGGCAGUAAGUUAAUACCUUGCUGUUUUGACGUUACCAACAGAAUAAGCACCGGCUAACUUCGUG